GCCGAUGAGCGGGCACCCUGACGGAACUACAUAGGUUGGGGGUCCAGCAUGGCAAUGCGGAUGCCCUCUCCACGAAUAAUGCAACCCUAACCCUGAGCACACCUUCCUCCCAGUCAGGGCUAAGGGGGAGGUGUGUGGUAUCCCGGGAGGUCUACCCCAGGGGUUGGUGAUAGAGGGGAGGUGCGUGCCGUGACGUUGGCUCCCUCUGCUGGGAGUACACAGGCUGGGAGAUUGCCAACAUUCAGUUGGAGAGUGCCAACUGAACGUGCAGGCCACAUAAAUGGAGCACCGUGGCACACCGUGAAGAGGACAAAGAGAGAGGCAAGGAGUGAGCCAACAGAGGGGAACACAUCCCACAGAGGCACGGAGCCGAAUAGGAGAAGAAGGACCGAGCCAACCCUAAGUUAUUUUGGUGUUGUUUAUUUUUGUUGCAUAGUAAAGUCAUGUUUUCUGAAUAGAAACUCCCUGUCUUUGUGUCCAUCUCAGCAUUCUCAACCCAACACCCCACAGUUUACCACUGUGUCCACAAUGUACAUACUGUAUGUGCUUGUUUAGAUCAAGGGUCUUCAACCUUUUCCUGCCAAGGGACAUACUGGGAAAACCUGCGACCCAGGGACACCAUCAUAACAGAAGCACCAUCACGUCUUUUCUCAUCAUCAGAUGAAUGAUAAUGGCAAGGAGAAGUAAUCAACCGUUUAAAAUGAAUAGAUUUGGUAGAUAGUUUUUCAAUAUGUUUAGCUCCCCACAUUAUAAUUGGAAGAGGAAGUGUAAACUCUAACAUAGCCUAUUAGAUAGAAAGGUAACUCAAAUCACAUGUUCGCUAAGAGCAGCAAAUGUUCACUGGAACUAAGGGGCCUAGCCCAAACAAUGAAAAAAAGCCACUGACCAUUAUUCCUCCUCCACCAAACAUUACAGUUGGCACAAUGCAUUCGGGCAGGUAGCAUUCUCCUGGCAUCCUCCAAACACAGAUUCAUCCGUCAGACUGCCAGAUGGUGAAGCGUGGUUCAUCACUCUAGAAAACGCAUUUCCACUGCUCCAGAGUCCAAUGGUGGCGAGCUUUACACCACUCCAGCCAACGCUUGAAAUUGCGCAUGGUGAUCUUAGGCUUGUGUGCGGCUUCUCGGCAAUGGAAACCCAUUUUCAGAAGCUCCCGACAAACAAUUCUUGUGCUGACGUUGCUUCCAGAGGCAGUUGGGAACUCGGUAGUGAGUGUUGCAACUGAGGGCAGACGAUUUUUACGUGAUAUGCACUUCAGCCUUCUGCGCUCCCGUUCUGUGAACUUGUGUGGCCUACCACUUCACGGCUGAGCCAUUGUUGCUCCUAGAGAUUUCCACCUCACAAUAACAGCACUUACAGUUGACUGUGGCAGUUCUAGCAGGGCAGAAAUUUGAUGAACUGACUUGUUGGAUAGGUAGUGUCCUAUAACGGUGUCACGUUGAAAGUCACUGACCUCUUCAGUAAGGCCAUUCUACUGCCAAUGUUUGUCUAUAGAGAUUGCAUGGCUGUGUGGUUGAUUUUAUACACCUGUCAGCAAUAGGCAGGGGGGUGUCAGAGGGGUGUCCAGGGUGGCACUGGACACCCCUGACAUCUGAUUGGCCACCCCGGCUGCUACCCCAAAAUGUUUGAUGCUGAUUGACAUCUCAUUUCACCUCUUGUUGAAAGAAGCAUUUGUUUUGAUGUUUUAAAUUCAAGGACGAGGAAGAGAGAAUAUUAAUGUUGGUUGCGAGAUACGUAAGAAUAAGAAUAAGAAGAACAUACAGAAGAAGAGAGAAUAUUUCCACAGCUCCACGAGCUCUUUUCGCGAUUGGCGAAAGCAUCAUAUUUGAAGUAAGUUAUAAGGUUUAGCAUCGGGUAUAGGUUUCCUGAACAACUUUUACAAAAGUUGAGUCGCUGUAUAAGUUAAAACGUUAGAGCUUUGGCUCCAUUAACAGACAGUUAAUCAGAUAAGAGAGAUGUGUUCCCAAUUUGGCCCAACAUUAUGCUUACAUCUGUGCUAGUAAUACACGCAUAUAGAGUUCAGUGUCGUAAGUUACAGUAUACGAAUGUUUAGCUAAUGUGGUGUAACUAGUAAGCUACUGUUGUCAGUGUUCAGCAAGUUAUCAUUCAGCAAUUUGAAAUCCAUUAACUCAGUUAGAUUUCAAUCUGUUAACAUUACUCAAAAGAUUACCACAAUUUUCAGAUAGCCUGUUUGCAAUCGUGAAGGUGUAAGAAAUUAUAGUUAGCGAAGUUACUUACUGCAGAGUAGGGCUAGCCAUGAUCUAACUAGUAAUGUAGGCUGGUAGUUGAUUUUAAGGUACCGUUAUGAUAAUUGGGAUUUGUAAUUAAGAUUGAGAUUGGACUAAAAUGUGGGUAAUUGGAUGCUUAGAUGAAACCAUAGACUGUCUUAUUUUUGCAUAGGGUCAAGUAAACAUGAAAAGAAAGGGGGAGAUAUCAGACUUCUUUUUAAAGAAGCACAAACAGGCAGAUCGGGUCCAAACAGACCCCAGCCCUUGCAUCACCACCAGACCCUAAGAGCAGCUCCCUACCUGAGGCUAGUCAGAGUCAGUGUGGUCAGACUUCAGACUCCUUGACUUUGUUGUGUUUCUAGAACUCAUGGAGGUCUUCCAUGAGCUAUUUCAACUUUAUAAGAUUUCUGUUGUUACACCAGUCAGCAGUGCUUCUUGUGAGAGAAGCUUCUCAGCUUUAAAAUUGAUUAAAACCCACCUUAGGACAACAAUGGUUGAUGCCAGGUUAAGUCACCUCGGAAUUCUCAGUGUUGAGUCAAGGAGGGAACGCACCCUCAACAUGGAUGAGUUUGUGAAACAUUUUGCCAGUUUUCAACAGAACCGCAGAAUAUUGCUGUUAUAAAUCUACCAAUGAUAAUUUGGCACUUAGGCGGUCCCUCUGGUCAUGAUUAACACCUGCACUGUGUACUAGCUAGUACACUGACAUUCUAAAAUGACAAAUCCAAAGGGUAUCAUGUCACACAAAUGUAAUUUGGUCUUGAUUAGGCCAAUUCCAAAACUUUUCUUUGCUAUUAGUUAACAUAAUAUAUAUGAGCAUAAAUAUGAUACUGUAAGUUUGUAAUAUUGAUGGGCAUCAAAAUUAUUUUUUAUUUUUCAAGUCCAUUUCUGCUUGAUACCUGGUAUGUCAAAUUGCG
rnacentral:lncRNA from 1 species